AGCAGCCGCGGUAAUUCCAGCUCCAAUAGCGUAUAUUAAAGUUGUUGCAGUUAAAAAGCUCGUAGUUGAAUUUCGGAAUCAAUUUGUUGGUCGUGCCUCGGUACGUACUGGUAUUAUUGGUUUCUACCUUCUGAAGAACCUUGAUGUCAUUAAUUUGGUGUCUUGGGGAAUCAGGACUGUUACUUUGAAAAAAUUAGAGUGUUUAAAGCAAGCAUACGCUUGAAUACAUUAGCAUGGAAUAAUGAAAUAGGACGUUUGAUUCUAUUUUGUUGGUUUCUAGGAUCGACGUA
rnacentral:rRNA from 1 species